GGAUGAACGCUGGCGGCGUGCUUAACCCAUGCAAGUCGAACGGAAAGGCUCCUGCUUGCAGGGGUACUCGAGUGGCGAACGGGUGAGUAACACGUGGGUGAUCUGCCCUGCACUUCGGGAUAAGCCUGGGAAACUGGGUCUAAUACCGGAUAGGACGAUGGUUUGGAUGCCAUUGUGGAAAGUUUUUCGGUGUGGGAUGAGCUCGCGGCCUAUCAGCUUGUUGGUGGGGUAAUGGCCUACCAAGGCGUCGACGGGUAGCCGGCCUGAGAGGGUGUACGGCCACAUUGGGACUGAGAUACGGCCCAGACUCCUACGGGAGGCAGCAGUGGGGAAUAUUGCACAAUGGGCGCAAGCCUGAUGCAGCGACGCCGCGUGGGGGAGGACGGCCUUCGGGUUGUAAACUCCUUUCGCUAGGGACGAAGCGUUUUGUGACGGUACCUGGAGAAGAAGCACCGGCUAACUACGUG
rnacentral:rRNA from 1 species